rnacentral:rRNA from 1 species
CCUACGGGAGGCAGCAGUGGGGAAUAUUGGGCAAUGGGCGCAAGCCUGACCCAGCAACGCCGCGUGAAGGAAGAAGGCUUUCGGGUUGUAAACUUCUUUCGUCAGGGACGAAGCAAGUGACGGUACCUGACGAAUAAGCCACGGCUAACUACGUGCCAGCAGCCGCGGUAAUACGUGGGUGGCAAGCGUUAUCCGGAUUUACUGGGUGUAAAGGGCGUGUAGGCGGGACUGCAAGUCUGAUGUGAAAACCACGGGCUCAACCUGUGGACUGCAUUGGAAACUGUAGUGCUUGAGUACUGGAGAGGCAGACGGAAUUCCUAGUGUAGCGGUGAAAUGCGUAGAUAUUAGGAGGAACACCAGUGGCGAAGGCGGUCUGCUGGACAGCAACUGACGCUGAGGCUCGAAAGCGUGGGGAGCAAACAGGAUUAGAUACCCGUGUAGUC